rnacentral:lncRNA from 1 species
CGCCAUGAGAAGACUCAUCAAUCUGCUCCGGCAGUCCCGGGCCUAUUGUACCAACACAGAAUGCCUUCGGGAAUUGCCAGGGCCCUCCGGUGACAGUGGCAUCAGCAUCACUGUGAUCUUGAUGGCCUGGAUGGUGAUCGCUGUGCUCCUCUUUCUACUGAGGCCUCCUAACCUGAGAGGCUUCAGCCUUCCUGGAAAGCCCUCCAGUCCUCACAGUGGACAGGUCCCGCCAGCCCCUCCUGUGGGCUAACAUCCUGGUGUGGGAAGCAGCGAUUGUUUGACACCCUGCACGACCGAACGACUGCAGAGAACCUGGCACUACCUGUCUCUCCUUUUCCAUCUGCAGUUUGGAUGGUAUUGUUUUCAUGAGCUUCUAGAAGUUUCACUUGCCAACUGCCUUUGUUUCCUGUGUUGCCACAGUCCUUGUUUACAGUAUACCUGAGUAAACGAUUUCUUUGAAAA